UACGUAGGAGACGAGCGUUGUCCGGAGUUACUGGGCGUAAAGGGUGCGCAGGUGGCGGCGCGCGUGGGGGGUGAAAUCGCCCGGCUUAACUGGGCGGGGGCCUUCCAGACGGCGUGGCUUGAGCAGCGGAGGGGGACGUGGAAUUCCUGGUGUAGCGGUGGAAUGCGCAGAUAUCAGGAGGAACACCGGUGGCGAAGGCGGGUCUCUGGGCCGAUACUGACGCUGAGAAGCGAAAGCGUGGGGAGCGAACAGG
rnacentral:rRNA from 1 species